ensembl:lncRNA
AGUAGGCUUUCGAGCCUAUACAGCUUGGAGUAAGACAACAUGCAUGAAGAGGAUGAUGUGGACAAAAUACUCAUUUGCCUAAUAAUUCUGCACUCCCUGUAGUUACUUUGAAAGUAACGGGUAACUUGAAGUAACUGAGUUACUUUUGAUAGAAAUAACUAGUAAUGUGACUAAGUUAUUAAUUUAAAGUAACUUACCCAACACUGAUGAUGAUGUUGGAAUCAGGACUGGUUGUAAGAGCAUCUGUGUUAAAUGUAGAAGUUCACUCUGACGCCUCUGCCUUUCUAAAUGGAGGGACAGUAACUGUGUGUGUAUAUGUAAAAAUGUAAAAUCUGCAGAUAGUCAGAAUAACAGCAACAGCAUUUUGUCUCUAUCAGCCAUUGUAGAAAUUCAUCUCAUGUAAACAAUAAUGUGGCGAUGUAAGGAAGAGGACUCCCUUACUAUAUUUAUUUAUAUUAUCUGUAUAGCACUUUAGAGCACACCUUUCACUUUAUUAAAAGCACCUUAUCAAGCACUUUAUUUAGCAUUGCACUUUAAGCAUGGAUUUGCACACAAGAAGGUUAAAUAUUUAUUGACUAUUUAUUGGGAAUUUUAAAAUCACUUGGUAGCCUUAUUUCAGAUCCUGCACAGCUGCUCCUCAUCAAGGAAUGUGGUGGUUGUCUGUCAGGAGAGAAGAAUGGUGAUUGAGAUAGUUAUUAAGGUUUACCAGUAAGGAAAACUAAUGCAAGUGUGUGUGGAAAAAAAAAAGAAAAAAAAGAAAAAAAAAGAAAUCUAGGGAUAAAAGUGGUGCAAAUGAGUGUAAGACUUAUUACAGAUGAAGCUCCCAUCCCGCUGCCUCAGAUCUUCAUCUUCUCUUUCUCUCUCUGUUCCCUCUGCUCGUCUGAUCACAAUGGGAGGGAGGGCCUUUAGCUGCUCUGCCCCUCGACUUUGGAAUUCCCUACCCCCGGACCUCAGAAAUAUUAGUUCAUUCUCUCUUUUUAAGUCCACCCUCAAAACUCAUCUGUUUAAAAUUGCCUAUUCUUAAAUUUCUGUAUGUUUUAACUUUUAU